rnacentral:misc_RNA from 1 species
CCGACUACCGGCGCCGUGWCCCUUCGACCCUGUGACUUUGUUACCGAUGCCUUUCAAGUGCUUGCGUGCUGGUACCCGAACUACGGGAAGUGGUGCURUGUACAUGUUGCCUCGCGGUGGACGCCUCCGGGUGUGCUGCUGCGGCCAUAUGGCGGUUGCGGCGUUGCCUCGUUGUGCCGACACAUUUACGUGUCUGGUUCUAUCAAGGCAACCUUGCUCCCGCUGUUGGUUUCGGAUGUUGCCCACGAUGAAGUCUCAUGGCCCUUUUGGUUGCCUAGAGCCGACGCUAACAAGCUCUCCGAAUUGAGAACAACCGGAACAGGUGUUGCCUCUACCUCUCCACAGUUAGUGGUAGGAUACGCAACAUUUUGUGCCGAUCCUCAUAAAAGUAGGACGAGCUUAAGCCCGCUCCGAAUUGAGAACAACCGGAACAGGUGUUGCCUCUACCUCUCCACAGUUAGUGGUAGGAUACGCAACAUUUUGUGCCGAUCCUCAUAAAAGUAGGACGAGCUUAGCCCGCUCAAAUGCGACAACUGGCCMGGCUGUUGCCUCUGGCUUGACACGAAAGUGGAUGGACGGACAACUGCCGACGCUGGACGUCAAAGAGGACGUGCUACCUGGUUGAUCCUGCCAGUAGU